rnacentral:rRNA from 1 species
GAUGAACGCUGGCGGCGUGCCUAAUACAUGCAAGUAGAACGCUGAAGGAAGGAGCUUGCUCUUUCCGGAUGAGUUGCGAACGGGUGAGUAACGCGUAGGUAACCUGCCUGGUAGCGGGGGAUAACUAUGGGAAACGAUAGCUAAUACCGCAUAACAGUAGAUGUUGCAUGAUUUUUACUUAAAAGGUGCAAUUGCACUACUACCAGAUGGACUUGCGUUGUAUUAGGUAGUUGGUGAGGUAACGGCGCACCCAGGCGACGAAACAUAGCCGACCUGAGAGGGUGGGCAGCCACCCUGGGACGGGGACACGGCACAGACGCCCACGGGAGGGAGCAGGAGGGAAACUUCGGCAAGGGGUGGAAGUCUGACCGAGCAACGCCGCGGGAGUGAAGAAGGAUGUCGGGUCGGAAAGGUCGGUUGUAAGGGAAGAACGAGUGCGCGAGUGGAAAGUUCACACUGUGACGGUACCUGACCAGAAAGCAACGGCUAACUACGUG